rnacentral:rRNA from 1 species
UCAGGAUGAACGCUAGCUACAGGCUUAACACAUGCAAGUCGAGGGGCAGCAUGGUCUUAGCUUGCUAAGGCCGAUGGCGACCGGCGCACGGGUGAGUAACACGUAUCCAACCUGCCGUCUACUCUUGGACAGCCUUCUGAAAGGAAGAUUAAUACAAGAUGGCAUCAUGAGUCCGCAUGUUCACAUGAUUAAAGGUAUUCCGGUAGACGAUGGGGAUGCGUUCCAUUAGAUAGUAGGCGGGGUAACGGCCCACCUAGUCUUCGAUGGAUAGGGGUUCUGAGAGGAAGGUCCCCCACAUUGGAACUGAGACACGGUCCAAACUCCUACGGGAGGCAGCAGUGAGGAAUAUUGGUCAAUGGACGAGAGUCUGAACCAGCCAAGUAGCGUGAAGGAUGAAGGUCCUACGGAUUGUAAACUUCUUUUAUAAGGGAAUAAACCCUCCCACGUGUGGGAGCUUGUAUGUACCUUAUGAAUAAGCAUCGGCUAACUCCGUGCCAGCAGCCGCGGUAAUACGGAGGAUGCGAGCGUUAUCCGGAUUUAUUGGGUUUAAAGGGAGCGCAGACGGGUCGUUAAGUCAGCUGUGAAAGUUUGGGGCUCAACCUUAAAAUUGCAGUUGAUACUGGCGUCCUUGAGUGCGGUUGAGGUGUGCGGAAUUCGUGGUGUAGCGGUGAAAUGCUUAGAUAUCACGAAGAACUCCGAUUGCGAAGGCAGCACACUAAUCCGUAACUGACGUUCAUGCUCGAAAGUGUGGGUAUCAAACAGGAUUAGAUACCCUGGUAGUCCACACGGUAAACGAUGGAUACUCGCUGUUGGCGAUAUACUGUCAGCGGCUUAGCGAAAGCGUUAAGUAUCCCACCUGGGGAGUACGCCGGCAACGGUGAAACUCAAAGGAAUUGACGGAAG